GUAUCUCCAGGGCAGCCUGUGGUGGGCAGGAGGCGGCUGACAAGGUCCCGUGAUACGAAGCAGGAGGGAUGCGAAAAGGACCCCGUGCAGCCUGGGACAGGCAGUGGCCAGGGAAAGGCUGGGCCAGCCUGCGAUGGAGUUGUAGGAGGAAGAAGUGAGGCAGAGCUGAGCCAGCUGGAGACCCUACAGUAGCACCAGGCUGACCCCACACCGUGGCACCAUUGAGCCUGCCGAACGCUGGAGCCCUGGAGGUCAAGGACUGUCUCCCCACUCCAGGCAGGGCCGCUCUCCUGCUGGGGCGCUAUACAUAGGCCAGCCCUUCCCAGCCAAGGCACUGAAUGGAGCAGGCUCAGUCUUAUCAGCCCAAUGUGUCAUCAGAGGGUAUUUUUGGGGACAGCAGCUGCAGGCAUUUGUAACGUUUGGUCCCUGCAUGCUGACGUCCAGGAGCAGAGCUGGGGGAGGCAGCAGGAGCUGGGUGCCGGUGCUGGGAGACACAGGGAAGAGGCGAAGGAGUGAGGUUGAUGAUCCCCGUUGCUGUCCCGCUGAGCUGCCCGCU
rnacentral:lncRNA from 1 species